rnacentral:rRNA from 1 species
UGGGGAAUUUUGGACAAUGGGCGCAAGCCUGAUCCAGCCAUGCCGCGUGCGGGAAGAAGGCCUUCGGGUUGUAAACCGCUUUGUCAGGGAAGAAAUCCUCUGAGUUAAUACCUCGGGAGGAUGACGGUACCUGAAGAAUAAGCACCGGCUAACUACGUGCCAGCAGCCGCGGUAAUACGUAGGGUGCAAGCGUUAAUCGGAAUUACUGGGCGUAAAGCGUGCGCAGGCGGUUUUGUAAGACAGAGGUGAAAUCCCCGGGCUCAACCUGGGAACUGCCUUUGUGACUGCAAGGCUUGAGUGCGGCAGAGGGGGGAUGGAAUUCCGCGUGUAGCAGUGAAAUGCGUAGAUAUGCGGAGGAACACCGAUGGCGAAGGCAAUCCCCUGGGCCUGCACUGACGCUCAUGCACGAAAGCGUGGGGAGCAAACAGGAUUAGAUACCCUGGUAGUCCACGCCCUAAAACGAUGUCAACUGGUUGUUGGGAAGGUUCCUUCUCAGUAACGUAGCUAACGCGUGAAGUUGACCGCCUGGGGAGUACGGCCGCAAGGUUGAAACUUAAAUGAAUUGAC